rnacentral:rRNA from 1 species
AACGAACGCUGGCGGCAGGCUUAACACAUGCAAGUCGAACGUGAAGCCACCUUCGGGUGGUGGAAAGUGGCGGACGGGUGAGUAGCGCGUGGGAACGUACCCUUCGGUUCGGAAUAACCCGGGGAAACUCGGGCUAAUACCGGAUACGUCCUGCCCCUUAAACAAGGGUGGGAGAAGAUUUAUCGCCGAAGGAUCGGCCCGCGUCCGAUUAGCUAGUUGGUGGGUAAUGGCCCACCAAGGCGNCGAUCGGUAGCUGGUCUGAGAGGAUGAUCAGCCACACUGGGACUGAGACACGGCCCAGACUCCUACGGGAGGCAGCAGUGGGGAAUAUUGGACAAUGGGCGCAAGCCUGAUCCAGCCAUGCCGCGUGAGUGAAGAAGGCCCUAGGGUUGUAAAGCUCUUUCAGCGGGGAAGAUAAUGACGGUACCCGCAGAAGAAGCCCCGGCUAACUUCGUGCCAGCAGCCGCGGUAAUGCGAAGGGGCCUAGCGUUGUUCGGAAUUACUGGGCGUAAAGCGCGCGUAGGCGGAUUGUUAAGUCAGGGGUGAAAUGCCGGGCUCACCUCGGAACUGCCUUGAUACUGGCAAUCUGGAGUUCGGGAGAGGUGAGUGGAAUUCCGAGUGUAGAGGUGAAAUUCGUAGAUAUUCGGAGGAACACCAGAAGCGAAGGCGGCUCACUGGCCCGAUACUGACGCUGAGGCGCGAAAGCGUGGGGAGCAAACAGGAUUAGAUA